AUUGAACGCUGGCGGCAGGCUUAACACAUGCAAGUCGAGCGGAGAUGAGGUGCUUGCACCUUAUCUUAGCGGCGGACGGGUGAGUAAUGCUUAGGAAUCUGCCUAUUAGUGGGGGACAACAUUCCGAAAGGAAUGCUAAUACCGCAUACGCCCUACGGGGGAAAGCAGGGGAUCUUCGGACCUUGCGCUAAUAGAUGAGCCUACGUCGGAUUAGCUAGUUGGUGGGGUAAAGGCCUACCAAGGCGACGAUCUGUAGCGGGUCUGAGAGGAUGAUGGGCCACACUGGGACUGAGAAACGGCCCAGAUGCCUACUGGGGGCAGCAGUGGGGAAUAUUGGACAAUGGGCGGAAGCCUGAUCCAGCCAUGCCGCGGGUGGGAAGAAGGCCUUUUGGUUGUAAAGCACUUUAAGCGAGGAGGAGGCUACCUGGAUUAAUACUUUAGGAUAGUGGACGGUACUCGCAGAAUAAGCACCGGCUAACUCUGUGCCAGCCGCCGCCGUAACAC
rnacentral:rRNA from 1 species